rnacentral:lncRNA from 1 species
UCAUGAUUUGGAAAGAUGGAGGAGAUUGUCCAAUGUCUUAUCUUAUGGAUAUCCUCAUAUCAUUUCCAAUCCACUUUUGAUGGGAGAGAUUAAUCAUUUGUUGUCAAGCUUAGAUCCCCUAAUAAACUCUGUGUCAUGUCUUGCUUUUCAGCACAUGUAUAGGGAUCUAUCCCUUUCCAUCAACUCCGCUGUUGAGGUAUAUCAGGACACUGUGUUUUAGCUAUGCCUUCACAUCUCCAAAGCUCUUAGUUCCAUAUCUUUCCGUCGCCACGACUUCUCAUCUUUAGAUGAAUAAUUUCCUUAUUGUAUUUGUAGUUCCCAAGCAAGUGUGACAAUGGCGGACUUUGACUUCAUGCGAUGCUAAAUAGAGAAAGGACAGCUGUUGAUUAGCACAAAACAUUG